rnacentral:rRNA from 1 species
UACGAAGGGGGCUAGCGUUGUUCGGAAUUACUGGGCGUAAAGCGCGCGCAGGCGGUCUUCCAAGUCAGUGGUGAAAGCCCGGAGCUCAACUCCGGAACUGCCAUUGAAACUGUAAGACUUGAGGAUGAGAGAGGUGAGUGGAAUUCCCAGUGUAGAGGUGAAAUUCGUAGAUAUUCGCAAGAACACCAGUGGCGAAGGCGGCUCACUGGCCCGAUACUGACGCUGAGGUGCGAAAGCGUGGGGAGCAAACAGGG